CCUACGGGUGGCAGCAGUCGAGAAUCAUUCACAAUGGGGGAAACCCUGAUGGUGCGACGCCGCGUGGGGGAAUGAAGGUCUUCGGAUUGUAAACCCCUGUCAUGUGGGAGCAAAUUAAAAAGAUCGUACCACAAGAGGAAGAGACGGCUAACUCUGUGCCAGCAGCCGCGGUAAUACAGAGGUCUCAAGCGUUGUUCGGAAUCACUGGGCGUAAGGCGUGCGUAGGCUGUUUCGUAAGUCGUGUGUGAAAGGCGCGGGCUCAACCCGCGGACGGCACAUGAUACUGCGAGACUAGAGUAAUGGAGGGGGAACCGGAAUUCUCGGUGUAGCAGUGAAAUGCGUAGAUAUCGAGAGGAACACUCGUGGCGAAGGCGGGUUCCUGGACAUUAACUGACGCUGAGGCACGAAGGCCAGGGGAGCGAAAGGGAUUAGAUACCCUGGUAGUC
rnacentral:rRNA from 1 species